rnacentral:rRNA from 1 species
GACGAACGCUGGCGGCGUGCCUAACACAUGCAAGUCGAGCGGAGUCGAUCGACGGAAGCCUUCGGGCGGAAGAUGGUUGACUUAGCGGCGGAUGGGUGAGUAACGCGUGGGCAACCUGCCUCGAAGACCGGGAUAACAGCCCGAAAGGGCUGCUAAUACCGGAUGUGGUCAAGGAUCCGCAUGGAUUUUUGAUUAAAGGGGAAACCCGUUUCGAGAUGGGCCCGCGUCCUAUCAGCUAGUUGGUGAGGUAAAAGCUCACCAAGGCGACGACGGGUAGCCGGCCUGAGAGGGUGACCGGCCACAAUGGAACUGAAACACGGUCCAUACACCUACGGGUGGCAGCAGUAGGGAAUAUUGGUAAUGCGCGAAAGCGUGAACCAGCAACGCCGCGUGUGCGAUGAAGGCCUUCGGGUUGUAAAGCACUUUUCGGGAGGAAGAGGAAGGACUGUACUCCCAGAAUAAGCCUCGGCUAACUACGUGCCAGCAGCCGCGGUAAGAUCACGUGUA